rnacentral:rRNA from 1 species
AGUGAACGCUGGCGGUAGGCCUAACACAUGCAAGUCGAACGGCAGCACAGUAAGAGUUUGCCCUUACGGGUGGCGAGUGGCGGACGGGUGAGGAAUACAUCGGAAUCUACUUUUUCGUGGGGGAUAACGUAGGGAAACUUACGCUAAUACCGCAUACGACCUACUGGUGAAAGCAGGGGAUCUUCGGACCUUUCGCGAUUGAAUGAGCCGAUGUCGGAUUAGCUAGUUGGCGGGGUAAAGGCCCACCAAGGCGACGAUCCGUAGCUGGUCUGAGAGGAUGAUCAGCCACACUGGAACUGAGACACGGUCCAGACUCCUACGGGAGGCAGCAGUGGGGAAUAUUGGACAAUGGGCGCAAGCCUGAUCCAGCCAUACCGCGUGAGUGAAGAAGGCCUUCGGGUUGUAAAGCCCUGUUGUUGGGAAAGAAAAGCAGCAGGUUAAUACCACGCUGUUCUGACGGUACCCAAAGAAUAAGCACCGGCUAACUUCGUG